GGGGGUAUAGCACAGUGGUAGAGAAUGUGAUUACAGAUCAAAAAGUCUCAAGUUCAAAUCCUGAUGCUCCCA